GCAGUCGAGCGGUAACAGAUACCAGCUUGCUGGAUGCUGACGAGCGGCGGACGGGUGAGUAAUGCAUAGGAAUCUGCCCGAUAGUGGGGGAUAACCUGGGGAAACCCAGGCUAAUACCGCAUACGUCCUACGGGAGAAAGGGGGCUCCGGCUCCCGCUAUGGGAUGAGCCUAUGUCGGAUUAGCUAGUUGGUGAGGUAACGGCUCACCAAGGCCACGAUCCGUAGCUGGUCUGAGAGGAUGAUCAGCCACAUCGGGACUGAGACACGGCCCGAACUCCUACGGGAGGCAGCAGUGGGGAAUAUUGGACAAUGGGGGAAACCCUGAUCCAGCCAUGCCGCGUGUGUGAAGAAGGCCCUCGGGUUGUAAAGCACUUUCAGCGAGGAAGAACGCCUAGCGGUUAAUACCCGCUAGGAAAGACAUCACUCGCAGAAGAAGCACCGGCUAACUCCGUGCCAGCAGCCGCGGUAAUACGGAGGGUGCAAGCGUUAAUCGGAAUUACUGGGCGUAAAGCGCGCGUAGGUGGCUUGAUAAGCCGGUUGUGAAAGCCCCGGGCUCAACCUGGGAACGGCAUCCGGAACUGUCAAGCUAGAGUGCAGGAGAGGAAGGUAGAAUUCCCGGUGUAGCGGUGAAAUGCGUAGAGAUCGGGAGGAAUACCAGUGGCGAAGGCGGCCUUCUGGACUGACACUGACACUGAGGUGCGAAAGCGUGGGUAGCAAACAGGAUUAGAUACCCUGGUAGUCCACGCCGUAACGAUGUCGACCAGCCGUUGGGUGCCUAGCGCACUUUGUGGCGAAGUUAACGCGAUAAGUCGACCGCCUGGGGAGUACGGCCGCAAGGUUAAAACUCAAAUGAAUUGACGGGGGCCCGCACAAGCGGU
rnacentral:rRNA from 1 species